UAGAGUUUGAUCAUGGCUCAGGAUGAACGCUAGCGGCAGGCCUAAUACAUGCAAGUCGAGCGGCAAGUCGAGGAGUAAUCUGAGACCUAGAGCGGCGUACGGGUGCGUAACGCGUAUGCAACCUACCUCAUACAGGGGGAUAGCCCGGAGAAAUCUGGAUUAAUACCCCAUGGCACAGCACAAGGGCAUCUGCGAGCUGUUAAAGAUUCAUCGGUAUGAGAUGGGCAUGCGUCUGAUUAGCUAGUUGGCGGUGUAACGGACCACCAAGGCGACGAUCAGUAGGGGUUCUGAGAGGAAGGUCCCCCACACUGGCACUGAGAUACGGGCCAGACUCCUACGGGAGGCAGCAGUAGGGAAUAUUGGGCAAUGGACGAGAGUCUGACCCAGCCAUGCCGCGUGCAGGAAGACGGCGUUCUGCGUUGUAAACUGCUUUUAUCUGGGAAGAAAAAGUCCAUGCGUGGAAAAUUGCCGGUACCAGAUGAAUAAGCACCGGCUAACUCCGUGCCAGCAGCCGCGGUAAUACGGAGGGUGCAAGCGUUGUCCGGAUUUAUUGGGUUUAAAGGGUGCGUAGGCGGCUAUUUAAGUCAGCGGUGAAAGACAUCGGCUCAACCGAUGCAGUGCCAUUGAUACUGGAUAGCUUGAGUGUUGGAGGGGUACAUGGAAUUGAUGGUGUAGCGGUGAAAUGCAUAGAUACCAUCAGGAACACCGAUAGCGAAGGCAUUGUACUGGCCAACAACUGACGCUGAGGCACGAAAGCA
rnacentral:rRNA from 1 species